GGAGAGAGGGAGUCGAGCCGGGACAGGAGCCCGACACACUGGAUAAAUAUGAGCCAUAAAAUAGGUCAGAGAAGGUUCGAUACCGGUUUAAUACUCAGCUCAAGGUUAGAUAACGCUAUUUUUAGCCGCGAUUCCACAAGCAUCUACUCGGCGCGGUACGGCUCACCACUAUUGACUCGGCUCGUCUCGGUUUAGUUGUUUUUCCAUAUAGCCUCAUCGUGGGUGGAGUCGUCAUAGCACGGCGAGCCGAAAGUCCCUUAACGUCAUUUGUGUGCGACACAAACGCAACAUAACGGAGACGAUGGUUCACCUGCUGCUCAGUCUGUGGCUUUCUGUCAGAUUCAAAGUAAUAAAAGAGUCUUAGAAAGCUGAGAGCAGCGAGUCGAAACACUCAGGAGACACACAGGAGAGUCUGGGAGGCGAUACAGCAGUAUCAAGCUGAAGACAAGAGGAUAUGAACUAGACGACAUAUGAGGAUGCUCUCUGAUGAGACUUCAUGGGAUUUACCUGAAGCAGCAGCACAUGAUCCUGCAGUGGCACAAGGUGUAGAGGAGGAGGACAGAGAUGUACAGGAUGCACUGAUGCACUACGUGUCAUGCAAAAGUUAAAGUUAUUCUUCUCGUUAUACUUCUGUUUUUCUGUCCCCGGACCGCUAUUGUUUUCUUUAAUGCAAUUCUGACAAUAAACUUUUGUACCUUUUG